GGGGGCGACAUGGUUUCGACGGUGGCGGAUGAAGCAUGAGCAGCGCGCCGAGGUUCCCGGUGGCCUCGUUAAAAACCGGGGACAAAUUAACUGCGAACGAACAAUUCGCUCUCGCUGCCUAAUAAAGUGCAGCGCGUUCUUACCGUGACCGCCUGCUAGCGGAUAAGGACGAAGCCAGCGGGCCUCGAACCGGGAGUUGACGGCGUACCGGCAAGAGUAGUUAGUCGUCUAGCGACGCCGGAAAGCGAGUCUGACGCGUUCCGGAAGGGUGAAUCUUCAAAGGAAAGACUACGCGCGUAGAUACUCAUGUGGAAGCGCUAUCGGACGCGGGUUCGAUUCCCGCCGCCUCCACCA
rnacentral:tmRNA from 1 species